AAUUGGCACAAAAAUUAGUUGAGAUGUGUAAAUGAAUUAUGCGAACAACUUUGAGUGCAGUUCACUUUUCCAUCUCCCUUCUUUCUCCCUCUUUAACCAGCGCCACUUUUGCCCCUUGUCCUUUUCUCCGUCAACGCCAGUGAGGCAAAUAGAAGUACCGGCGAAAUCAACCGAGAAAGCUUUCCUCUCCUCUCCGCCUCUCUUCUUUCUCUCUGCCUCCGCCUCUUUUCUCUCCUCUCUUUCUCCAGAAAACGAGAACAACGAGAGCUUGCAUCUCCGCUCCUCUCUUCUCUCCGACCAGCAUCGAUGAGGGCGAGCAGUAGCAGCACCCAGCAAGACGCACUCCAGCAUCAGAGACGGCAAGUUUGU
rnacentral:misc_RNA from 1 species